UUAUACUAUGUUCGCACCAAAUUGAAAACCUCUUGAAAACACAAUUUGUGGAUUGUGGAACCGAAGUCGUUCACACCGACAUUUUGUGUUUUCAUUGACAGUUCACACAUUUAUUUGUUUACAUUAGUUACGUACGUUUAGGCCAACGAGAAUGAAUUCCGAGAAAAUUUUAAUUGCGAAAUUGUUGGCUUUGAGAAGCCAAAUAAAUUUAUUGAGCAACGACGAUUCUUUAAGAGAAUCGAUAGAAGUUCUUAGCACCCAGCACAUUCGCCUUAAAAAAAAAUUGAAGACUUGAACAAAAAACGUUUAAUUCUGUUAUGUGUAUUAAAGAACCUUAGGAUGCCGAUUAGAUCAUGUUGGACAAAGCAACGCAAAAAUCAAUUUUGGGAACACGAUUGCCAACGAAAUGGAUCCGUUUUUUUUAAGGAAAACUUUCGCAUGAACCGCAGUUCAUUUAAAAAAUUAUGCGAAAAUUUCCGGUGUCUACAAAAAAUGGAUACGAACUACAGAAGAGCUAUUCCGCUCGAGAAAAGAGUAGCUAUAGCAAUAUUUGCUUUAGGCUCAUCUGCGGAGUAUCGGAGUAUCGCUAAUAUGUUCGGAGUAGGUAAAUCUACGGUUUGCAAAAUUUUGCUGGAAUUUCGCACCGAAAUCUGGAGAUUGAUGCAACCAUCCUGCUUCAAAAUGCUGCCAUUAAAUAGAGAAAGCAUAACAGAAUUGGUGACGGGUUUCGAGGUACUUGGAUUCCCACAAUGCUUAGGAGCAAUUGACGGAUGCCACAUUGAGGUCACUUAUCAUCUGAAG